GGACCGACAAGCUCAGGGAGAAGUUUCUGGAAGGACUUGAUGCUUUCUUGGAGCCGCUCAAGUCCAUGCAGGUAUGGACCCAGUAGUACGCGACGUGGACCAAGACAUAGAGAUGGAACCAUUGUGGGUGACAGCCUUCACAUUGCAGAUGAAGCUCACACACAUUAUCUCAGUGAUGCAAGAGUGGUGGGCCAGUGAUAUGAGGACUCGCUCGAGCUUCACAUGGUGCGGCUGGAACUGGAAAAUGUGGAGAAGCAGAUCCGCGGCCUACUCGACAAGCAGGCCCAGCUGCUGGAGCAACAAACUGCGCUGGAAACAUCUUGUGCCUCUGCCCACAUAUCCAAG
ensembl:lncRNA